CUGCAGGGCAGCACCUGAUGCUGCUUACAUAGCCAGCCCAGAGCAAGUGGGACCAGAAAUGGGACCGCCAGGGAACCAUCCCCACUGUGAAGAGCAAGGUGGUGUGGGUCCUGCAAAGAACUCCCCCGCAUCUUUCAGACACCGCCUGCCCUGCGCUCAUCUCUUAGAAUCCUCUGAACACGUCCUUGAAUCACAGUCAAGAGAGAGCAGGCAGAAAGAGGAACCUACACGGAGGGUGAGACCACGAGAUCUCUGCCAGGAAGGAGAAGCUCUCUGAUAUGGAUCUCUCGGUGCCUGAAGCACGCAGACAGCCAAAGUGAAACGCUGCCACCAGGUGCAAAAAUUUCAGCCCUCUCCCCUUACCUUCUGCUGCUGCAGGCUCCAGCAUUUGGGAAACAGGCUCCAUGUGGGGCUUCUAGACUCUCCUCCUAUCUCUAGAGGCUUUCCUACCGCUGCCCCGAGCAGUCCAGAUGAAAGCAGAUCCACCUGCAUGCUUUGCAGCUGCUCCUGCAAGAGCCUGGUAGGGAGAGUGUAGCAGAGAUUUAUUUCAGCUUCAGCUUCCUCUUUCCUCCCCCUUUAGAAAGAAGAAACAAAAGCCCAAAAGUAUGUUAUAUUAAUUUAUUUGGGACACACCAAAAAAGGAAAGUCAACAACCGUUAACGUACAAAAGUACAGAAUCCUGGGACAAGAUUUACUGUCCUGAUUAAAAAGGCACCAUGGUCCCAAUGAAAAGUAAUCAGAAUACAUCAUUAUAGAAAUCUUCCCCCUGUUGCAGCAGAAACAGAGCCAGGCUUUGGCUCUAUCCACAGUCAAACCGUUAAGAAACAAACAUGAUUUAAAUGCAAUAAACAUUGCUCAGCCUGUACAAGAUGUCAUGAAACAAAUCACAGCCUACAAUACGGUCAUCUCUUUUCUUUUCUCUCUACACAGCAAAGGUGACAAACAAGUGUCUCACUGAGGAAGGCAGCAGACUUCUGACGUCUCCACCUCGGCGUUCUGUAAGACACAUCGGCUGAACUGAAAUUGGUAGGCUGAGUACGGGGCUUCUGAAUGAAAUGCGGUUCCCUGUGGUAUACAGGAAGUCAGAUUUGACAACCUUAAAUUCCCUGAAUCCCUGAAAAUCGUAAAGCACUGUACAGCCAUGUUCUGUAUUCUGUUCAGCCCUGUCGGGUUUACUUUACACAUUAGCACUUAUACCAUCAGCUAUAUCUGUAAUAUAAAGGGGGGGUUUACAGCAGUUAUUUAAAAAAACUCUAAUUCUGCGAGGUCCGAGCUUAGCUAUAUUCCCUGCUGAAACAGAGCUGCUGGUGUAGAAGCCCAGUGAGAGGCUAGAGUCCAGCAUCUCAGGGCUGGAAGGCAAAUAGUUUCAACGUGACAUAAUUUGCAAGGGGAAGUCAGUGAAGCACGUCAGAGAGGAGAGGGCUGCAAUCUCUCAAGCAGAGGAGGCUGAAGGGUGUUGCAGAACGCGGGCACGUGCUAUCAAACCUGUAACAACACU